rnacentral:lncRNA from 1 species
AUGUACACAAAUAUAGACUAUGAAAUGGGCCAAUUCCUUGGUGAGAUGACCCCUCCAGUCCAGGAUGAGACGGCCCCGCUCCAGGGUGAGAUGGGCCCACCUGUCCAGGUCGAGACAGCCCCACUCCAGGGUGAGAUGAGUCCACUUGAGGUUGAGACGGCUCCACUUCAGGAUGAGACAGCACAACCGGUCCAGGGUGAGACGGCCCCACCGUUCCAGGUUGAGACGGCCCCACUGCAGGAUGAGACAGCUCCACCAAACCAGGUUGAGACGGCCCCACUGCAGGAUGAGACAGCUCCACCAAACCAGGUUGAGACGGCCCCACUGCAGGAUGAGACAGCUCCACCAAACCAGGUUGAGACGGCCCCACUGCAGGAUGAGACAGCUCCACCAAACCAGGUUGAGAUGGCCCCACUUCAGGGGGAGACGGCCCCAAUUCAGGGUGAGACGGCUCCACUUGAGGUUGAGACAGCCCCACUUCAGGGUGAGACAACCCCACCAGUCCAGGUUGAUACAGCCCCACUGGUACAGGGUGAGACAGUACAACCAGGCCAGGGUGAGAUGGCCCCACCAUUCCAGGUUGAGACGGCCCCACUGCAGGGUGAGACAGCCCCAGUCCAAGGUGAGACAGCUCCACCAAACCAGGUGGAAACGGCCCCACUGGAGGUUGAGACGGCUCCAGUCGAAGUGGAAACAGGACCACCACUUGAGGAUGAGACAGCGUCAGUACAGGGUGAGGCUGCUCUGCCGGGCCAGGUGGAAACCGCCCAACUCCAAGGUGAGAUGGCCACAGCAGUCCAGGGUGAGACAGCAGCAGUUCAGGGUGAGACUGCCUCAGCAGUCCAGGCCGGGAUGGCCUCACUCCAGGAUGAGACAGCCCUGCUCCAAGGUGAGACAGCCCCACUCCUGGGUGAGACGGCCCCACUUCUAGGUGACAUGGCCCCACUUGAGGAGACCUCAGUCCCUCCGAACUCAGCAGAAUUGGAGUCUUCGUCCACGAACCUCCAGACUGAGCAGGCUAAGGGAGUGCUGCAAGGCCGAAACAUUGUGCUGCUCGUCACUAUCCCUUUGUUACUGAUAGUAGGCCUUAUUCUUUGGUGA